rnacentral:lncRNA from 1 species
GGAGGUUCCAGCCAAGACCGGACGAUUGGGCUGCCACAACUUCAACCACAUUACUGAAAUUGCCUUCCUUCAUUCCCAGUUGCUUGGGAUGGCUUCUGACACUGUUUGGGAAGAAAAUAAGUGGCCCUUCUCAGAGCAGCUGCUGGGAUGCAGACUGAAGAAGCAGCUGGCCGGGACCGUACUCCACUUCUGCUCCCACGGGAGGUGUGGGUGCUGUCACCCCAAAACCACAAGAACUGGAGUGCACCAGUUUGUUCUACAGAAAAGAGACAAAGGUGUUGGCCCCAGCAAGCCCUGUGGCUGAAGAUCCACCAAUUGACCAUUGUUACCAGGCUGAUGCAGAUCAUUAGGCCUCUGCAAGUUUUUAUUCAUUCUCAGGAUAAAAUUUGCACUUCUGUUGCUAUUGUUAAGUAAUCACCAGACUCACGGAUAGGUGAGCACUGCAAAGCAUUACAGUAGAUAAGAUUACUAGGAGCUAUUAUUUCCUUUUUAAUAGCUUGGUCAGUAUUUUAUAACAAUGAAAAGGUUCCCCACUCAGCAAUAAUAAGCUGUAACUCUUGUAUGUAGCAGAAACUGUAAAUAUUGCAUUGCAUACAUACGUUUCUAGACGACAAGCAGAUUUAGAGAUUUGAGCAGGGUGAAAUACUGUUUCUAUCGGUGACAGCAUUAGCUUAAAUCCCGGAAGAUAUAUUCCAGAUGUUCUGUGCUAAUAGGAUUAUUUUAUAAAAUUGUAGACAGAUUUUAGAAGCAACACCCCAGUUAAGCACUUUGCGAUCCCCAUGUAGCUUUUAUUUAUUUAUUUAUUUCCAUCUGAAUUAAUGGUUCUUUGGUCUUGUGUUAGUUUCACCCAGUUGUCAUAGAUCACAAGAGAGCCAUCAUUUACUGGCAAGUGAUCACUUACUCAUUUAGAUUUCCAGGCCUCAUUAUAUAUUCAUGCUGAUUCAAAGGAAAUGCAAUGAAUUCUUUAGGUGGAGUCUCAGUAGACUGAGUGAUGAUUAUUUAUAACUUAGUAUAACAAAAGUGAUCUGUGCAGUUUGCAGAUACUCUCAAUUUUCACACAUGCAUGCACGCAUACACAUAUGGAGUGUGUAUUUUAUAAAUUUGUUGUUUGUGUUCAUACACAGAAACAACUAUGAUUCACAUGCUAAUAUCAAAGCUGAAGAAUAAAGCUGAAGAAUGUAAAGGCUGACA